rnacentral:lncRNA from 1 species
GUGUGAAAAAGUAAUCAAUAAUAUUUUCAAAGAGAACCAAAAAAGAGGAUUUCAAGUCUUAUCAAUCAAUUAUCUAUUAGAAAAGACAUGAUUUGGUGUAUAACAUUUUGAAACAAAAUUCAUACACUUGACAAAACUCACAUAUUUUCCAUCUCUCAUUUAUAGCAGGGAUUUCAACUUGGAGAAACAUAUCACCCCUCAUUGCAAGAAUGAGACAAUACCUAUGAUUGGUCCAUCUUUGCUGAUGUUGAUAAGGCUACAUGGGUGCAUUUAGGAACACAGCUGAAGAGUAUACAGCAUAUAACAGGAAAACAAAUCUAACAAAUACAGUCAUACUUUACACACCAAUAUCACUUUAAAAAAUAAAAUACAUGUUCAAAUUUUGUUUUCAAUGUGAUAAUUUGUAUAAAUAGAGGAAAUGAAGACCCUACAGUAUUAAUCUCCAUUGCAACUAAAGCACCAAUUAUAUCAUUCUUAAUAGGUAAACUUUUUAUAAUGAAAGAUCUCUCACUUAAUGAUUGUAAACCUCUACACUACUUAAAGCAUACCAUAAAGACAUUUGGGCUACAAUUAUCAAAUAACUAUUUUUGUAGAAGUUAACUAAGUUUGCUCAUUAGCAAAAGUCAAAUGGUGAACACUAGCUGUUAACCUUUAUGAUAUUUGGUCUCUGGUUGAGAGUUGUCACAUUGGCAAUCAUAAAAAAUGUUCUUAUUUUUAUAACAGAAUACGCACAGACAUAUAUAUUUAUAUGUUAGUAUCACCUUU